GGCGCUGUGGCUUAGUUGGUUAAAGCGCCUGUCUAGUAAACAGGAGAUCCUGGGUCCAAAUCCCAGCAGUGCCU
rfam:Oryzias latipes DNA, scaffold4896, strain: Hd-rR.